CUACCUGGUUGAUCCUGCCAUGAGUCA
rnacentral:rRNA from 1 species